UACAGAGGGUGCGAGCGUUGUCCGGAAUCACUGGGCGUAAAGGGCGCGUAGGCGGUCCGUUAAGCGUGCGGUGAAAGCCCGGGGCUCAACCCCGGGUCGGCCGUGCGAACUGGGGGACUGGAGCGGAUCAGAGGCAGGCGGAAUUCCGGGUGUAGCGGUGGAAUGCGUAGAGAUCCGGAAGAACACCGGUGGCGAAGGCGGCCUGCUGGGAUCCUUGCUGACGCUGAGGCGCGACAGCGUGGGGAGCAAACAGG
rnacentral:rRNA from 1 species